CCUACGGGUGGCAGCAGUGGGGAAUAUUGCUCAAUGGGGGAAACCCUGAUGCAGCGACGCCGCGUGAGGGAAGAAGUAUUUCGGUAUGUAAAGCCCUAUCAGCAGGGAAGAAAAUGACGUUACCUGACUACUAAGCACCGUCUCACUACGUGCCAGCAGCCGCGGUAAUACGUAGGGAGCAAGCGUUAUCCGGAUUUACUGGGUGUAAAGGGCGCGUAGACGGGUUGGCAAGUCCGAAGUGAAAGCCGAGGGCUGAACCAUGGGACUGCUUUGGAAACUGUAAAACUGGAGUGCAGGAGAGGUAAGCGGAAUGCCUGGUGUAGCGGUGAAAUGCGUAGAUAUUAGGAGGAACACCAGUGGCGAAGGCGGCAUACUGGACCGUAACUGACGUUGAGGCUCGAAGGCGUGGGGAGCAAACAGGAUUAGAUACCCGAGUAGUC
rnacentral:rRNA from 1 species